UACGGGGGGGGCAAGCGUUGUUCGGAAUUACUGGGCGUAAAGGGCGCGUAGGCGGUUUGCUAAGUUGAAUGUGAAAACUCUGGGCUUAACCCAGAGCCUGCAUUCAAUACUGGCAGGCUAGAGUUCUGGAGGGGAUAGCGGAAUUCCUGGUGUAGCGGUGAAAUGCGCAGAUAUCGGGAGGAACACCAGUAGCGAAGGCGGCACUCUGGGCCGGUACUGACGCUGAGGAGCGAAAGCGUGGGGAGCAAACAGG
rnacentral:rRNA from 1 species